rnacentral:rRNA from 1 species
UUAAGAUAGCUUGCUAUUUUUAUGAAGAGCGGCGAACGGGUGAGUAACGCGUGGGAAAUCUGCCGAGUAGCGGGGGACAACGUUUGGAAACGAACGCUAAUACCGCAUAACAAUGAGAAUCGCAUGAUUCUUAUUUAAAAGAAGCAAUUGCUUCACUACUUGAUGAUCCCGCGUUGUAUUAGCUAGUUGGUAGUGUAAAGGACUACCAAGGCGAUGAUACAUAGCCGACCUGAGAGGGUGAUCGGCCACACUGGGACUGAGACACGGCCCAGACUCCUACGGGAGGCAGCAGUAGGGAAUCUUCGGCAAUGGGGGCAACCCUGACCGAGCAACGCCGCGUGAGUGAAGAAGGUUUUCGGAUCGUAAAACUCUGUUGUUAGAGAAGAACGUUAAGUAGAGUGGAAAAUUACUUAAGUGACGGUAUCUAACCAGAAAGGGACGGCUAACUACGUGCCAGCAGCCGCGGUAAUACGUAGGUCCCAAGCGUUGUCCGGAUUUAUUGGGCGUAAAGCGAGCGCAGGUGGUUUCUUAAGUCUGAUGUAAAAGGCAGUGGCUCAACCAUUGUGUGCAUUGGAAACUGGGAGACUUGAGUGCAGGAGAGGAGAGUGGAAUUCCAUGGGUAAGC